CCAAAUGCUUAAGGAAUUUGACAGAUCAACUAAUGUCUACGUAUUUUCCAUAUAUUUUUUAAAUCUUCUAAAGUUAUAGAUUAUUGUUUGAACAAUAACAAGGUCAUUGUCUUACACCUUACAAGAUAACAAUGUUCUCAAACAAUAUUUUUAGUAUGAUAUUAUUUAUAUAAAUUUUAAUUUAUUAUUAACAAUACAAUUUUGGUUUGUCAAAACUCGAAAACCUCACAAGCAAAUAUAACGGAUCUACUGUAGUGGACAGUGUGCUUACUUAUGUAUGUUGGGCCUUUGAUAAGCAAAUGAAACUUAUUACAGCCCGUUGAGAAUCAUCGUGGUUGCUAUUGUAAUCCAACGACACAUCUAUCUAUCUAUCUAUAAUAAUAAAGUUGGUUUAUCUGUCAUCUCCUGCGUCCACGUCACUCUGGAGAGAGGAGCGUUUUGCGCCACGUGUCGCGACAUCAGAGCUCCUGCGAUUUUUGCUCCCCGGCACUCUUUGAUCUAUCGAAUAUUAUCUGGGCUUUUAUGACAAUAGUUAGAGUAGGCACAGACAUUGAGUCAUAUUAGAGACCCAUCCAAAAUUAGGUUUCGCAUUCCUCUUCCUAAUCCUCUUGCACGUGCAACCUCCACGAUGGAAUUCAGACUUUAAGCGCCGAUCCGAAUUUAGUAACGUCUCACUAAUCCAUAAAUCAUUUCUUUACUCCUUGAGUUUUUCGUUAUUACUCCGCCCACUUGAAGCAAUCAAUCUAUCUCUUCGUUUUCCACAGUAACCGUUGAAGCUUUGGCUAUAAAUAUCGGUCCUUCAUGUGAUGAUCAGUACAACUCAAACGAUAUCCAAAAGCGAUUUUUUCGUAGCAACCCAUCCGAGAAUGGCUAAUUCCUUCAUCAUUCUUGCGGAAUUGAAAAACAGGGACCAGUCUCUCCAAGGAAGAUGACAGGCUUAGAGUAUGUGAUCAGUGAUGCUACUGAGAUUGUCCCGACAAGAUUAUAUCGAUGCUGACGUAUAAUAUCGAUGCAAACAUAUAACAAGUUUAUAUUGAUGCUAACGUAUAAUAUCGUGGACGGUACAAUAUACCAGGCUCCACAGCGUUGUAGUGUCGUUGCAGCUCGUGUUGUAUGUUUCUUCAUCCUUUCUAUUUACGUUCAUGUGUUGCUUGGAGGGCAUAGACUAAGCGAAGGUUUUUUUGCUGCUAAAGUAUUUUUUGUUUUCUUCUCUUUCUCCUUUAAGGUCGGGCUGUUAUUAAUAUUUAGAAGGUUUCUCUGCAGCUGCAUUAAAGUUGGGGACGAUUAAGCAGGGUAAGAUUUUGCUUUCUUUAAUAAGUUGGUUCUGUCUCAGUUUCAUGUGAUGUAAAUAUUUUCUGCUACUAAGAGUUAGUUUCAAAGUUUGUUGCAAGCUCGACUAGCUAUGUCCACAAAACCGGACUGAGAAGUAUAUGUUUUUUGUAUGAACUGCAUGUAGAUGCAAAUGUAAAAAUACUUUUCAUUAACUUAGGAAGCUCAUAUCUGAACAGAUUUAAUUUAUCAAGUACUUUAGAAUCUGUUGUUCUUUGUUGUGAUUAACUUCAUCGAUCUUAUGAUAUGAUAUCUAUAGUUGUCAAUUGAUGCUAAAAACCAGAACAAGCCUUCUGAGACAAAGCCCCCAAUGGUACAUAAUCUUUCACACCACUUCUCUUCCGGUAAAUAUCUCCAAUAAAAAAAAAAAAAAUUUCCUCAGUUAGGUUUUAUGGGUGUGCUCUGUGACAGAGGAAUUGAAUUUGAUGUUUUUAGAUUCAUCAAAGAUGAUGUCUUCGUAGAAAUCAGGAGCAACACACCUUAUAUAAGAAAAAAAAAAUGAAUUGAACAGUAUCUAUGUCGAAGAAGUCAAGAGUUCUUUGAGCAACGCGUUUCUUCAGGUCGAUAUUGCUUUAGCAGAGGACCGCAACAGAGGCUCUUUUCUCAGGCUUUUCUUUCAGUACCUCGGCUCUUGCUGCCCUUAUUUUUGGAAGGUAUGUUUGUUAGCUUUGACCAAACCCAUCUUCAGAAUCACUAAGAUUCAAUUUUAAGUGAAGGUUUGUUUGCUCAUGAUUGUUGUUCUGUUUCUGCACCAGACACUUAAUGGUUGCAAAUUCAGCAGAUGGCAGAGCCGUUCUCUGUAGGAAUGGUGAAGCCAUAGACUUGUCUCGAGACCACAAACCAAUCUACUUACUGUAAAGAAGAAAGUCUAAGGAAGUGGCGGCUUCAAUGAUGCCAAUUACUUAAAUGGCAUAGCGAUUAGGACAUGUAACUACCACGAGGGUCACGAUCUCCACUCUUAGCAGAGCCAGGAGAUCAAAAAGAUACAUUUAACAGAGGAAGACAAGUUUCUAAUAAUGGGAUGCGACGAGAUUUGGGACGUUUUGACAAUUCAAAAGGUUUUUGUAUCGUUAGGUGUGAAUUACGUCGAUCACGAUGACCCAAUAACGCUUGCUUUGAGGUCUUUAAGGCUAAAUAAGUUUGAUAACCUAACAUUGGUUGUUUGAUUCUUGUCGGCUGAUGACAUAAGAGCAAUGGUCGCUCCUCCGGUGGAGGAUCAAUGGUGUUGUAGUUUUCUCAGAAGAGAUUGAGGGCCUUAUUUGAUGGUUGAAUGAAAAAAUAAUGACAUUCCCUUUUGUGUUCUUGGCUGAGCUUUUUCUUGAUUUUGUAUAUUUGGUGUCUGUAUCUAACUUCGAGUGUCUAUGUGCCCAAGUUUUGUGUAAGCGGUUAUUUGUUCGUGCA